CUACGGGGCGGCAGCAGUGGGGAAUAUUGCACAAUGGGGGAAACCCUGAUGCAGCAACGCCGCGUGAAGGAUGAAGGUUUUCGGAUCGUAAACUUCUUUGAUGAGGGAGGAAAAAUGACGGUACCUCAAAAACAAGCCACGGCUAACUACGUGCCAGCAGCCGCGGUAAUACGUAGGUGGCGAGCGUUGUCCGGAAUUACUGGGUGUAAAGGGCGUGUAGGCGGGAAUGUAAGUCAGAUGUGAAAUUCCGAGGCUCAACCUCGGAGCUGCAUCUGAAACUAUAUUUCUUGAGUGCUGGAGAGGAAAGCGGAAUUCCUAGUGUAGCGGUGAAAUGCGUAGAUAUUAGGAGGAACACCAGUGGCGAAGGCGGCUUUCUGGACAGUAACUGACGCUGAGGCGCGAAAGCGUGGGGAGCAAACAGGAUUAGAUACCCCAGUAGUC
rnacentral:rRNA from 1 species